rnacentral:rRNA from 1 species
UACGAAGGGGGCUAGCGUUGCUCGGAAUCACUGGGCGUAAAGGGUGCGUAGGCGGGUUCUUAAGUCGGUGGUGAAAUCCUGGAGCUCAACUCCAGAACUGCCUUCGAAACUGGGAAUCUUGAGUCCGGGAGAGGUGAGUGGAACUGCGAGUGUAGAGGUGAAAUUCGUAGAUAUUCGCAAGAACACCAGUGGCGAAGGCGGCUCACUGGCCCGGUACUGACGCUGAGGUGCGAAAGCGUGGGGAGCAAACAGG